GACGAACGCUGGCGGCGUGCUUAACACAUGCAAGUCGAACGGAAAGGCCCUGCUUUUGUGGGGUGCUCGAGUGGCGAACGGGUGAGUAACACGUGAGUAACCUGCCCUUGACUUUGGGAUAACUUCAGGGAACUGGGGCUAAUACCGGAUAGGAGCUCCUGCUGCAUGGUGGGGGUUGGAAAGUUUCGGCGGUUGGGGAUGGACUCGCGGCUUAUCAGCUUGUUGGUGGGGUAGUGGCUUACCAAGGCUUUGACGGGUAGCCGGCCUGAGAGGGUGACCGGCCACAUUGGGACUGAGAUACGGCCCAGACUCCUACGGGAGGCAGCAGUGGGGAAUAUUGCACAAUGGGCGGAAGCCUGAUGCAGCAACGCCGCGUGCGGGAUGACGGCCUUCGGGUUGUAAACCGCUUCCGCCUGUGACGAAGCGUGAGUGACGGUAAUGGGUAAAGAAGCACCGGCUAACUACGUG
rnacentral:rRNA from 1 species